UACGGAGGGGGCUAGCGUUGUUCGGAAUUACUGGGCGUAAAGCGCGCGUAGGCGGACUUGCAAGUCGGGGGUGAAAGCCCGAGGCUCAACCUCGGAACUGCCUUCGAUACUGCGGGUCUCGAGUCCGGGAGAGGUGAGUGGAAUUCCUAGUGUAGAGGUGAAAUUCGUAGAUAUUAGGAAGAACACCAGUGGCGAAGGCGGCGCACUGGCCCGGUACUGACGCUGAGGUGCGAAAGCGUGGGGAGCAAACAGG
rnacentral:rRNA from 1 species